rnacentral:rRNA from 1 species
UGAGGAAUAUUGCACAAUGGACGAAAGUCUGAUGCAGCAACGCCGCGUGGAGGAUGACGGUCUUUGGAUUGUAAACUCCUUUUCUCAGGGAAGCGGUACCUGAGGAAUAAGUCACGGCUAACUACGUGCCAGCAGCCGCGGUAAUACGUAGGUGGCGAGCGUUAUCCGGAAUUACUGGGCGUAAAGCGCACGCAGGCGGUCUCUUAAGUUUGACGUGAAAGCUCCCGGCUUAACUGGGAGAGGUCGUUGAAUACUGGGGGACUUGAGGCAAUGAGAGGGAUGCAGAAUUCCAGGUGUAGUGGUGGAAUGCGUAGAUAUCUGGAGGAAUACCAGUGGCGAAAGCGGCAUCCUAGCGUUAGCCUGACGCUCAUGUGCGAAAGCGUGGGGAGCAAACGGGAUUAGAUACCCGAGUAGU